ACAGCAGCUAGCCCGUGUAAGUUGGACUACAGAGGAGCUUCCAAAAUACCAGGGCAACUCUUUAUUUUCCCUGUGCUCGCUUGGUGGCAGUAAGAAUGUCAAUAAGAGUGAAAGAAUGUCUGGGGGAAAUGUCGAGAGGAUUAAUCAACACCUGCACUGCACGGAUGUGGAUUUACAAAUGGCAGAUAGACUAAGAGGAAGGGAAUGAAGGAAAGAUGAAGGCGCGGCGAGCAGAGCGGAUGCUUUUGUGCAACCGGAGUGUCUCUCUCGAAAAUGUGAACUGUUCCACGGAUUAGCUGAGCAGAGAUUUAUUUAAUGCAUCCUCGUAGAGUAUUGUUGAAUUCUAUUUUGGGAUACGGGGCUUGCCAAGCUCUAAGCCUGGUAAUAUAUGCCUGCUUCAGUUUAAGAGAGAGGGUUCGCAGACCCACUUUAUGUUGGGAUCAUAUGGAUCAUACAGAGUCAUUGAAUAUGAAAAUAUUGAGGGUCUGGUAGCACAUUAAUUGUUUCCCAAAGGAACCCCUCAUAGCGUGUUUCCAGCAUUCUCCACGGUCUAUUGUUUGUAUGGCUUGUUUAAAUAUUUAAUGUCCUAGAGAAUGUUUGUGAUAUUCUCCAGAUAAGGUACUGCAAAUGCAUAUGCCACGAGAGGCCCCUAUUUAAGAUGCCGGCUUACGAUUUCUGAGAGGCCAACAAAGCCAUGGAUGGAAGAGCCAUGGAUGGAUUUAGGACCAGCGAGAGAAUAAUGAAUAAUAAGAAUGUAUCUUAUUUAAAAUGCUAAGUAUUUACCAUAUCUUUUAAUUUGAUCAUUAUUAAAAUAUGAGUAUGAUCAUAAGACAUUUGUAUUUAACCAUUCAUCUCAAUUAGAUUUUUUCUGUACUAAACAUUAAAAUACAUUUCCUUUA